AUCCCUUCUGGAGGCUCUGGGGUGUGUUUCGGUGCAGUUGUGCUUACCUAUUCAGAUGGACUGUAAUAACUUACUCUUUGGUCCUCCAUCGGAGGUCUAUAUUGAGCAGAUUCUUUUUGGUGUUGGGUGGUGGAACCGGAGCGUGCUCCAUCCCCUCCAUGCAUUGACCUGGUAUUACAGUGCUUCCAGGACCGGUGCAAAAAAA
rnacentral:snRNA from 1 species